UCAACAAUUAAGAAUCCUUUCACACCGCUACAACUGAGCCGGGAUUGGCAGGAGGAGCCUGGUCGUGUUUCCACUGCACAACCAAGCCGUGCCGGGACUGGCAGGAGGAGCCUGGUUGUGUUUCCACUGCACAGCCAAGCCGUGCCGGGACUGGCAGGAGGAGCCUGGUUGUGUUUCCACUGCACAGCCAAGCCGUGCCGGGACUGGCAGGAGGAGCCUGGUCGUGUUUCCACUGCACAAUCAAGCCGUGCCGCUACUGGCAGGAGGAGCCUGGUCGUGUUUCCACUGCACAACCAAGCCAUGCCGGGACUGGCAGGAGGAGCCUGGUCGUGUUUCCACUGCACAACCAAGCCGUGCCGGGACUGGCAGGAGGAGCCUGGUCGUGUUUGCACUGCAGAGCUGAAGCCCUGCAACUGACUUCACACGCAAUGAAUGCGUUGAGUCACAUGUAGAUGAUACAGUAUUAAGAGGCACUGUAUUUGAGUUGAGAAUGGUGAAUCCAGAGGUUAUGGUUGUGUUUUUUUUGUUAUUGUUCUUCCUAUAUUACUGAAUACAACUGAAAUGCAACGAGUUGAUUAAGCAAACACGAGAAGAACGCUUCUCUGAAAGAGCAGUAAUUUGGAUGUGACGAGCAUCUAGUUAGUUAGUUUUAGACACUGCAACAUAAUGACGAAAACCUUUAGCCCUGCUCAGCUCCUAGCCAGAUUCAGAUGUGUUGUGACUCAAAAUGUGACUUUUUUAAACACAUUUUUCUAUUCUAAUUCCCAUGUCCAGUUGUAAUUUGUGUCUGAUGUGCCCUCUGCUCGAUUAUUGAAAUGUGUGUGGUUUUUAGGAGCAAAAUGACACCUUAAAUAGGGUUAUACAGUGUCUUUAAUUCCUUUUUUGUUAAUAAGAAAAAGUAGGUCAAUCAAGUCAGAACAAUUCCUAACAUACAUCAUUUAGAUUGUAUUUUGGCCUCAGUAAGGCUGUAUAAGUAAACCAACAAGUUUUGCAAUCUGAUAUCACACAUUUUGUAUCUGAAACCCAGGAUUAAACUUGUUAUGACUGAGAUAUCUCAUAAGGAGGUCUUGCUGGCCCUCAUCCUGUGUGCAUAUUUAUCAUGAGAAUGAAAAUGGUCCUUGUGCUUAUUUAUCAUGAGAAUGGAAAUGAUCCUUGUGCUUAUUUAUCAUGAGAAUGGAAAUGAUCCCGGUACAUAUAUGUUCUAUUUUCUACAGGCUCUAGUCUGGUUUACAGCAAUGCUGUCUACAUUAGACAGCAAACACAAGAUGGCAGAGGUUAUUGGGAGCAAACUGAACAUUUCAAAGGAAAAGGACUCCAGAUAAGGGUUGUCAGCAUGAACCAGCAGAAUGACACAGCAGAUCUUUGGGACGGUACAAGCCUGUGGAUCAUACUGGUUUUGCUGCCCCUGCGCGAGUCCUUCUAGGACCUGUUCUCCCAGACCUUCUCCAAGAGACAGAAUAGCACCUUCCUCGGGCAUGUGCAGGCAUGCUUCACAGAGAAGCGCUGGCAGGACCUGCUCAAACUCAUGGACCAUGUGUGCAAAUCUGCUGUUAACAAGGAACCACAGAAGAAGCAGCAAAAUGGACCCACCCAGUGUUGAUUCAGGGAGAGACCUCAGUGGGUAAAACCAGUCUGAUCAAAUGGCUGGCUGAUGCCACUGGAAACCAGUGUGUGCGAAUCAACAACCACGAGCACACCGACAUACAGGAGUACAUUGGCUGCUAAUCUUUCGAUACGACCAGGAAGCUGAUCUUCAGAGAAGGAACAGUCCUAGAAUCUGCCCAUCAUUUGGUCAUCAUUAUUUUUUGAAUGAGCUGAAUCUGGCUCCCGUGGAUGUGGUGGAAGUUCAGAACUCACUGCUGGAUGACAACCGGGAGCUCUUCGUUAAAGAAACGCAGGAAGUAGUCAAAGCCCAUCCCAAGUUAUAUUUAUGUUUCAACAGUUAAAUACAUUUUCAUGCAUGGCAUUUGGUAUUUCAUCGUUCUCCCUUUCUUUCUUCCAAGCUGUUUUGCAAUUCAAUUUGAUGUAAUAAAUGUGAUAUAUUUGAUUUGGUUAUUAGUAUGUAAACAGGCAGUCUAUAUUUAAUUUCGACCACAUGUUCGUAUUCAGUCACAUCGAAGAGGCUUGACGGUUUUUGCCGGGAAGCAUGGCUUCAUCAGCCUGAGAGAUCUGUUCCGAUGGGCUAAGCGCUGCUGGCUGGCAGAGGAGAACCAGAAGGACCUUGACUGGCUUCAGCACCUCGCAAACGAUGGUUUUAUGCUGCUGGCUGGUCGAGUGAGUUACCCAGAGGAAGCAGCCAUCCUGGGUGUCCUGGAGAAACAUUUCAAAAAGAAAUUAAACCCAGGAACCCUCUUCUCUCAGGACAACGUCUCCAAGCAAUUGUUUGAGUAAACUAGCAAGAAAAAAGGAGAGGGGAGGCCAAACGAGUACCUCAUGCCUAGUUACUGCUGAUUUGCCUGAACAGUUCUUCCACAUUGCGUGGGCUUGUGGCACACGAAGGCUUGCAGUUAGGUUGGACUUCCGCGAGCCUGCGCUGCUGACGGGGGAUACACGAUGUGGUAAAACAACUUUAAACCCAGGAUUUAAACAUGGUCACAUUAGCAGGUGUUUCACAGUGUGGAGGCCACCCUCAAGGGUCUGAAGACGUCAGACCCUUUUUUGUCAGCAGGGUCUGAGGACUUCUCUCAUAGCAGCAGGGUCUGAGGACCGCUCAUCAUCAGGGUCUGAGGACUCUCAACAGUAGGGUCUGAAGACUUCUCUCAUCAGCAGGCUCUGAGGACCUCUUAUCAGCAGGCUCUGAGGACUCUCAUCAGCAGGGUCUAAGUUUUGGGGAUGUUGAAUUUUGUAUGAAGUAAAAUCACUUGCAUUUAUUUAAAACAUAAGAAAUAUAACUAUGCAGUGGCAAUGUAGCAAUGAAACUGAUGGAAUACAUACAGUACUGUAGAGCUGCAUAUUCCACUUUUAACCUGGGAACCUUGGCCCUAUUGUCUUUAUUCGAGAUCUGUAAAUGACCCUGAGGAACUCCGCAAGGAGCUGGAGCAGCAGCUGGGUGCCUGAGAGAAACAUUAGCCUGGAAAUCAAGAAGAGGUGAUGUCUACCUGCUCAAGUUUAAAGACAUUAAGUACUUUUCCAGUUGCUUUUGUGACAGACCAUAAUACACACUCCAUUCAAAACAGAUUUACCCUGCUGUCUAGCUUGUUCGUCACCAGCGGUGAUACAAGCUGCACUGUCCAGUGUCUGUCUUGGUUAUAGCCAAUCUGACUUUUUUUCUUUCUUUCUUUUUUUCAGGAAAGGGUUGCAGCUAAGAUGUGGCAGCAGUACCAGGUGUUAACAUCCCCACUGUCACAGCAACUCUGUGAACAGCUGCAUCUUAUACUGGAAUCAACCCGGGCUGCAAAGCUCAACAUCAGAAGGUCCUUUGUUUGUACAGGACAUUGUUGCGGGCUAUCCCUCUAGCUGAGAUUGAUCGGCAAUACCUGACUCUCUGGGCUAGAGACAAGUUCAAGAGGAGCAGAGGGGUCAAAG